rnacentral:tRNA from 1 species
UCCUCAAUAGCUCAGUGGUAGAGCAAUCGACUGUUAACCGAAUUGUCGUAGGUUCAAAUCCUACUUGGGGAG